rnacentral:lncRNA from 1 species
GUUAUUUCAUAGAUAUAGUUCCUUGAAAAUCCAAAUCAUCAUUCUUUGAUCUUGAGAUUCAACCGCCAUAUAAUUGUGUUCAUAAAAUCUUUCCAAGCCAAGUUAUUACUUUGAACCAUAAAUUAUUCCAUUAAUUGAGAUAUAUAUUGAGCCAAUUUUUUUCAUAUCCUUAGAUAUAAACAAUAGAUCAAAAUACACGAGAUUGUUGAUAGAACACCAAAUCUACCUUUGCCAAUUAACCUUCAGAGUUACUGAAUUUUUCAAGAAGAGGCGCGGGAAUUCCGAUGUUGUGAAACGAGGCCCCAUUAGAAGAACGAGGAACACUUCAUAUAAUUCAUCAAAGAUAAAUCGAUGCCAAGGAUCAAGAGCUGUUGUAGAAGCAACUAAGGUGAGGUAUCAAGAGUCGGGAUAUGAUGCUAGGAGCACGCAAUCCAAGAGAGCUAAGGUAUAAACUAGAAGUUGAAAUUUGUUUUGAAGUAUACCUCUAGUAGGAUCAAGGAGAUUGCAGGAGUUGAUGUCAGAAGUUCUACAGGGUAGACAGAUCCGAGUUCGUACUAUAAAUUUGCUUCGAUUUAUAGUUGAUUACUAAUGGUAAAGUGCUUGAAGUUUUUACCCAUUUGAGAUUUUUUCGUGAUCAUCUUUGAUUUUUUU